rnacentral:rRNA from 1 species
GAUGAACGCUGGCGGCGUGCCUAAUACAUGCAAGUCGAGCGAACAGAUAAGGAGCUUGCUCCUUUGACGUUAGCGGCGGACGGGUGAGUAACACGUGGGUAACCUACCUAUAAGACUGGGAUAACUUCGGGAAACCGGAGCUAAUACCGGAUAACAUUUGGAACCGCAUGGUUCUAAAGUGAAAGAUGGUUUUGCUAUCACUUAUAGAUGGACCCGCGCCGUAUUAGCUAGUUGGUAAGGUAACGGCUUACCAAGGCAACGAUACGUAGCCGACCUGAGAGGGUGUUCGGCCACACUGGAACUGAGACACGGUCCAGACUCCUACGGGAGGCAGCAGUAGGGAAUCUUCCGCAAUGGGCGAAAGCCUGACGGAGCAACGCCGCGUGAGUGAUGAAGGGUUUCGGCUCGUAAAACUCUGUUAUUAGGGAAGAACAAAUGUGUAAGUAACUGUGCACGUCUUGACGGUACCUAAUCAGAAAGCCACGGCUAACUACGUG